rnacentral:tRNA from 1 species
GCUGUGAUGGUGUAAGGGUAACAUCUAGGCUUCCCAUGCCUAGGCACCGAGUUCGAGUCUCGGUCACAGCA